AGAAAAGCAGGGCCAUAUUUUUCAUAUUGAAAUUUAUAACCAAACUUUUAUAUAAAACACAAACCAAUUCAUAACUAUUCACUUCAAAAGAAAUUCUCAAAAGAAGAUAGAUUCUCAGCCCAUCCAGGCCAUCCUCAAGGCCCCUCUCGGGAUUAUCUUCUCCUUCCAAAAUCCUUCUACUCAGGUUUCACCUCCGAGUUCUCUUUCUCAGAUUCCUCCUCAUCAGCUCCUCAUCGGGGUCCUGAAAUGUUUUUCCCCAAACUGGGAUGAGACUACGUCUCAGCGAGUUCUACCCCACUAAGCCCGAUUAGUAAACUACUAUACUAAAGGCUGCCUAAACACGCACAGGUGAGGGGACUUACCUUGGCCUCAGAUCCCACCUGCAAGUCAGUACAAUUCACAUACCUUACGUAUAGAAUCGAUACAUCCAGCAAUUGAAACGCAUCACUCAACUCAAUAAAUCACAAGGGUCCAGAUUAUAGGGCCAAAUCGUUAUGACACGUCCCAUUCCAUGUCACACAAUUUUGUCUCAUAAUCUGGCGCAUCAAACUCAACCAUCAUGCGUUCCAAUUGUUAAUUACACCCCUCAAGGGUACGGCCAACUCUAUUGGCGGUCUUCUGGCAUUGCCAGGCAUCGCCUCCCCCCAUGGAGCGCGGCACGUCUCUUUAUCAGACGGCUUUCCCGAAGGAGCAUAGGGUCCAGAAUCAACUGCGACCGGCUUCCCGUUGUCCAGGAGGUAUCCCACAUAGGGAUAACGUCCAGCUCAACAGCCCGGGACGAUUUCUCAUAACCAUCACACGAUCACUCAAAUAUGGCCCAGGGCACCGUGCAUUGCACUCAAAUGCUUCAAUUAAAAUGGUGAGCCUGGCCUUUUUCUUCGUAUUAAAAAAUCCCGAAAAUAGCCGUGUGUGGGUACACGGUCAAUUCGAACCAGAAGACUGAUACUUAUCUUUUUCAAACCCCACUAUUUGAUAUAGUACUUAAAAUCCAUUUUUGGUGUUAAAACCCAACACCCGGGAUUUUCUGAAUAAAUAUCGAAAUCCACAAAUUUUGGAAUUAAAUACCAAAAAUCCAAUCAACACUCAAUUUGCAUAAUUUAACACUCAAUUGCAGAAUUUAACCACGCCAUUUACCAAUCCAUAAUUCAAUCUCAAUCAAUUCCAAUCAAUUUAGAGUAAAUCUCUAAAAUAUCACAAUUUAUUUAAUUCCAUACAACGUAGAGCUCAAAUAAAUAAACGGACUGCGCCACGACGAUCAGCACGAGAUUUCGGUCGUCGGCCAUCAAAAUCUUAAUUUCCGAAAAAUAAUUUAUUAAUAUUAAAAAUUCAAUUUAGCUCAAAUAAAGCCUGAUUAAAUAAACGGACUUCACCACAGUCAUCAGCAUAAAAUUCCGAUUCCGGACCAUCUCAGUUGAAUUUUCGGAAAAUAAAUAAAUAAUUAAUUUAAUUCCGAAAAAUAAUAUUUAAAUGCCAAAAAUCACACUUAGGCCCGAAUCGCCAAAUUGAAGCCCGAUUAGGGAUCGGAAAAUUCCCGAGACACUUCCAAUAAAUAGUAGACCACGUCUACUUGCUAAUUGCACAAUCAAUUUAUCUAAAUCACAUCACAAUUGACUAAUAAUUGCUAAUUUAUUCUAAUCUAACAACCUAAACAUAAUUAAUUAAAUCUAAACCAACCAUAAGCAUAAUUAGCCAACUAAUCCAAGAUUAGUGAGAUUACUCACCAAAUCGCGCGCAAAUCGGAUCAAUCCGACGGCGGCGGCGCGAGGAACGAUUGUCCCCAAAGCACGGCUCGGGUUCGGGGCCCGGAAACGGCCCAAAACAGCCCACGAACAGCUGGAUACCCACUCCGUGGGUUUGCUGGUUCGGCCGCAAAACAGCAAGAAAGAGAGAGGGUUGGGGGCGGCAAGAGGUCGGGAGAGCGGGUGGUGGCUUGGCAAGGCCGAGCGGUGGCCCACGGUGGCCGGAGGUGGCCGGAUCGUGGCCGAACGGAGCUGGACAGAGGAUGGGCAGCAGCUGGAUCGUGCGGGGGAGCACGCCUGGCGCGAGGGAUGGCCGGCAGAACGCGCGGCGUUGUGCGGGCGGCGUCGCGGGCGAUUCGGCUCCGGUGCGGCGGCGGGACG
rnacentral:lncRNA from 1 species